ensembl:lncRNA
GGCUGAUGGAGCUCAAUGGAAGGCAGGUGUACCGGUGGCCAGGGAGGAGCCAUGAGCGGAGCCAGGGGAGGAGCAAGGGGAGGAGCUAGGAGAGGAGACAGGGGAGGAGCUAGGGGAGGAGCCAGGGGAAGUGCCAUGGGAGGAGCCAGGGGAGGGGCCAGGGGAGCAGCUAGGAGAGGAGCUAGGAGAGGAGACAGGGGAGGAGCCAGGGGAGGAGCUAGGAGAGGAGCUAGGAGAGGAGCCAGGGGAGGAGUGGCACGCCCACUUCACACACAGAUAGACAAAGGGGAGAGAAACGAGGUGAGAAGGAAAAGCAGGAGCCACGGCUGAGGAACUAAUGACAUCCCCAUCAGCCUCAGCUGUGUCCCACUUUGUGUUUAGCGGUUGAGGUGAUUAGCAAAUGAUAGCAUGCUGAUGGUGAACGUUAAAGCUGCUUAGCAUCAGCAUGUUGACGGUCCCUAAAGCUGGGCUCAGAGGAGUUUUAAAAAUCAGGUUUCGGUCAAACUUAGUUAUGGAAAGAUUGUGAUAAACUGUUGGAAGGAAACAGGAAACUAACUGAUCUCCUAAAAGCGGUAAUUAUAUACAACGUGAUACACCGGUAAGGCUCUGCUGGAGGAAAAGGGGUGCUAAAAUGUGCUUUUAGUCCUUUCUGAUUGUAUUUGAGUCGUUUAUUUCUUUGGAAAAAGGUUGUCUUUCCUUUUCACACCUUUUUUUCUACUAUAUUGUUUUAUAAGUUUCCUUUUAAAUCCGAUGCCGUGGCUUUUGAAGAGUGUUAUGUAAAGGUUUUAAAUUUUCCCUGCCAGGUGAGGUAUACAUAUUAGCUAUUUGGCUUAUCUUCUUUUGCUGUAGUGUUGCAGACAAUAUUUAAUACUGUUUUAUAAUCAGCAUUGAGUGUCAGGGAUUUGAGUAUUUACAUUUAAAGAUACAAAUUAACAAAAAAAAAACCUGACACAUUUCCAUCAAAAAGCAAAACAAAUCAAUUAAAAGUAUUUUUCACCAGAAACUCGGUUUCUGUUCAUUAAAUGGAUGACUUGGAUAUUAUGGGUGUAACAAUGUUGUUAUGAAUAAAUUAUUCUAUUCCACAGUGGCUCCAGAGUGACUGUGUUCAGUCAAAUUCUGUCUCUUGAACACAAAUCAAAACAGCAACGACCGUUUUUAGUGGUGAAGGUCACAUCAUUUCAACACAAACACAAUCUACAAUUCCAUCAUCAACUGCCAUUUAUUAGUAUCAAACCACUGCUACAAAAUUACAUCAAACAUGAUGAAAAUGGACUUGCAUACGUGCUAUACACAAUGUAAGCUUUAAAAUAAUUAAAGUACAUGAAUCAUAAUAUAUAUUUAUAUAUAUUUUAUAUAUAUAGAUAUACCAAUGCCACUUAAAGCCAUAUAUAUCAUUCCAGUGAUCUAGAGCCUAUAAAUGUACAACUACAUCCCUGGUGGCUAACAGACCUUCAUACACAUUUGAGUAGAUAUUUCAAUUCCAGACUGUUUCAGCAUGACGAUUUGCAUAAAACAAACAAAUAAAAGUCUGUGUAAAAAAAAAAAAACCUUGGACGUUCCUGUUAACCUUUAUGAUGAUGAAUCUCAUUUAUUUUUGUAGAAAGAGGAACAGAAAUCAGCAUAAGUACAUAUAUUCAAUUUGGCAAACCAACGAAAUGCUGCACCUCGUUCCCUUGAACUCGAGGUCACUCCCAUCUAAACAAAUGUAACACCGAAGACAAAGAUGAUGAACUGGUGCUACAAAGAACCCAUUUCUUGCGUCUUUCAUUGUAAAAAAACCCACAAUGUGUAAUCUGCCUUUUGGGGCAUGAAAACAAAUGAAGUUGGAUUACAUUUACCGCCAGUCAAACGAUG